CUUCAGGGACGAUAAUGACGGUACCUGAGGAGGAAGCCACGGCUAACUACGUGCCAGCAGCCGCGGUAAUACGUAGGUGGCGAGCGUUGUCCGGAUUUACUGGGCGUAAAGGGAGCGUAGGCGGACUUUUAAGUGAGAUGUGAAAUACCCGGGCUCAACUUGGGUGCUGCAUUUCAAACUGGAAGUCUAGAGUGCAGGAGAGGAGAAUGGAAUUCCUAGUGUAGCGGUGAAAUGCGUAGAGAUUAGGAAGAACACCAGUGGCGAAGGCGAUUCUCUGGACUGUAACUGACGCUGAGGCUCGAAAGCGUGGGGAGCAAACAGGAUUAGAUACCCUGGUAGUCCAUGCCGUAAACGAUGAGUGCUAGGUGUUGGAGGGUUUCCGCCCUUCAGUGCCGGAGCUAACGCAUUAAGCACUCCGCCUGGGGAGUACGACCGCAAGGUUGAAACUCAAAGGAAUUGACGGGGGCCCGCACAAGCGGUGGAGCAUGUGGUUUAAUUCGAAGCUACGCGAAGAACCUUACCAGGUCUUGACAUCUUGCGCUAACCUAAGAGAUUAGGCGUUCCCUUCGGGGACGCAAUGACAGGUGGUGCAUGGUCGUCGUCAGCUCGUGUCGUGAGAUGUUGGGUUAAGUCCCGCAACGAGCGCAACCCUCGCCUUUAGUUACCAUCAUUUAGUUGGGUACUCUAAAGGAACCGCCGGUGAUAAGCCGGAGGAAGGUGGGGAUGACGUCAAGUCCUCAUGGCCCUUACGGGUUGGGCUACACACGUGCUACAAUGGUGGUGACAGUGGGUUAAUCCCCAAAAGCCAUCUCAGUUCGGAUUGUCCUCUGCAACUCGAGGGCAUGAAGUUGGAAUCGCUAGUAA
rnacentral:rRNA from 1 species